GUUUUAUAUUUAAAUACUAGCUUUGAUUACAGAACUGAAUGUUGCAUGCUAUUUUCUUCUUACUGAUAUUUUUUUUCCUUAGGUACCUAGUGUUUUUCUACAUCUUCUAUCCGGUUUCCUCACCUCCAUGUGGCAACAUAGAUUUAGUAAGUAUAAGUUAAAAAAUGUACAUGUCAAAAUGUAGUUCAUUUUGUAAUUUGUAUGGAUUGUAAAUUAUUUACAGUCCAUGGGAUACAAAUAUUUACAAUAACAAAUGUUUAGAGAAAGCAUGUUUAAAGAGUAAAUUAUUUCACAGUACAACAAAACUCACUAGGCUUACAAAGUUUAACUUUGUACAAGGUUGGAUGUGUUGGUUUUUCAGGUAUUUUCAGCUCAUUUUACAGAUAAACUAAUUGAUUCAUUGUUCUUUUUCUUCAUUCACAGGUGCUGUGUGAAUGUGGCCUUGCAAAUUGUGUGACAGUUCGUUACCUACUAGGUAUGAGUUAUUAAAACAUUUUAGGCUGAGACAUUUCCACCAUAGACGGACAGGUCAAUAUCCAUGUGUAUAUCUAGACUGUCCUUGCAAAUUCACAAGCUGGAAGAAACUUUUGACUCACACAUAUAGAACACACAGCCAGUUAGAAACAGCAGGUGCUCAGUGCACUACAUUCUCAUGUCAGACAUGUGGGUGUAAAGAACUUUCAACAGAGAAGGAAUACUUUAGUCAUGUUAAUGAACACCUUAGGCAGUAUGAAAAUGUAACUUGUAUGUUUGAGGGAUGUACAUAUCAGUCAAACAUAUAUGGCACUUUUAACUCUCAUAAAAAUCGUAAACAUAAUCCACACAGUUUAAAGGAUUUUAAAGCAGGUGUAGUUAAAGUGGGUGUUCAGUCUAGUCCAGCAGACGAAGGGCCUACAUUUACUGCGGACAUAGAUGAUAGACUGUCAGACGCAGAUGCCUAUAGUGAUGUUGAUAAUUCAGAGGACCUUCCUGAAGUAGUAGAGAAAAAACUUGGCUCUGUUCUGUUGAAGUUGGAAAACAUUUUUCACGUUCCAUCUACAGCUAUAGAUGAAUUGGUUGAUGAGCUACACUACUUACUGGGUGCUUUGUCUGUGCCAAUAACUUGUAGCACUAUAUCAGACUUUUUCAAAAGCAAAAACCUUGAGGUUGAUAGCUUGGUUGUUAAGGAAUUAGCCGAUUCACUGUGUAAAUCUAAUCCUUUGGCAAAUGCACUGGGAAAAUGUGGCCCCUUUGCAACAGCUUACAAGAGAAAAGAGUACUAUAAAGAAGUGUUUAAGAUUGUCGAGCCAAUAGAGUUUGUUCUUGAUCAAAAAGAAAGCAGGUCCUUUCAGUAUAUCCCAUUACUACGAUCUUUGCAGCAGAUACUUGAUUCUCCUGAAGUGUUGAACAGAGUUAUUGAUAGUCACAAAACACAGGGCAGUAACGCAGACCAGCUUGAAAACCAGCAGUAUUGCUCUAUCAGAGAUGGAGUAUACUUUAAAGAAAACCCUUUUCUUAUAGAUGAUGAGUUAAAAAUUUGCUUAACAUUAUACAUUGAUGACUUUGAAUUGUGUAAUCCUUUGGGCACAUCACGGAAGAAGCACAAGUUGUGCAGCAUAUACUGGAUUCUCAAUAACUUGGGACCAGGCUCUCACUCAGCACUUACUUCUAUUUAUUUAGCUGUUUUGUGCAGGAGUGGUGAUGUAAAGACGUAUGGAUAUAGAAAAAUAUUAGAUCCACUAUUACACGAUCUUGUUGCAUUAGAACAGCAUGGUGUCUAUGUUUCAAAGCUUGGGACUUUUGUCAAAGGAACAGUGCAUAGUGUUAUUGCUGACAAUUUGGGUGCCCACUCUUUGGCUGGUUUUAUAGAGAACUUUUCUGGACAUUAUAUUUGUCGAUUUUGUACUGCUAAGAAAGAAGAGAUCCAGUCAACUGAUGUUUAUUCGGGUGCUUUUUGUCUUAGAACCAAAGAAAUACAUGAAGCACAUUUAAAGACUGCACAGGACACUGAAACAAGCUGCUUUGGAGUGAAGCGAGCUUGCCCUUUAACUGAGCAACUUAGCCAUUUUCACGUCAGCACAGGCUAUCCCCCAGAUAUAGUGCAUGAUUUGUUUGAAGGCGUUGUCCCAUUUGAGCUAGCACUGUGUUUGAGCAUUCUAAUCUCCAAUAAGUAUUUUAGUCUUCAGUCCCUAAACACAUGUAUCCUUAAGUUUCCUUUCAAGUGGAGUGACAAAAAGAAUCGGCCUCACCUUAUACCACACAACUAUUCCAGUCGGAAGACAGUAGGUGGCAACGCCCAUGAGAAUUGGUGCCUUAUACGUUUCCUCCCAUUUCUGAUAGGAGACCUUGUACCAGAAGGUGAGCCUGCCUGGCAAGUGAUACUAGACCUGAAGGAAAUUGUAGAGUUAGCUGUGGCACCUGUUCAUACCCAAGAGACAAUUGCCUACCUUGAUGUCAAAGUGUCAGAGCACAGACAGCGACUACGUGAGCUUAUCCCAGGUGAGACACUAAAACCGAAACACCACUAUCUCGAGCACUAUCCACACUUGAUCACGUGCUUUGGGCCUCUUGUGGGUGUAUGGACAAUAAGAUUUGAGGCAAAACACAGUUUUUUUAAACAAGUUGCCAGACACACAAAUAAUUUCAGGAAUAUUGCACUCACUCUGGCCACCAAACACCAGCAAUUAAUCAGUUUUCACUUGCACUCAUCUAGCCUCAGUGCUUCAAAUCUGGAAGUGACUAAUGUCUCCACAGUCCCUAUUGAAGUUCUGAAUGAGGAUGUUGUAGUGGCUCUUAGACAGAAAUAUCCAGACAUUAGAGAAGUUAAUCUCACAAAGAAUGUCACAACGAAGGGGAUCAACUACAGGCAUGGAAUGAUGGUUGUAUGUGAUUCAACUGCUGGAAUGCCUGAAUUUGCAGAGAUUCUACAAAUGUGUAUAGUGGAAGAUGAAUUGAGCUUCAUAGUUCGUUUAUAUUUUGCUUGGUAUCAGGAUCAUUUUAGGGCCUUUCAGUUGACUUUGUCACCAGAUAGAAAGGUUGCCCUUGUUCAGUUUGAACAGCUAAAAGAUUGCUACCCACUUGUGGCCUACACAGUCGGAUCCAGACGUAUGGUGACCCUGAAGAGACACAUUGUCAUCA
ensembl:lncRNA